rnacentral:rRNA from 1 species
GAACGCUGGCGGCGUGCUUAACACAUGCAAGUCGAACGUGAUUUUUGUGGAAAUUCUUUCGGGAAUGGAAAUGAAAUGAAAGUGGCGAACGGGUGAGUAACACGUGAGCAACCUACCUUACACAGGGGGAUAGCCGUUGGAAACGACGAUUAAUACCGCAUGAGACCACAGAAUCGCAUGAUAUAGGGGUCAAAGAUUUAUCGGUGUAAGAAGGGCUCGCGUCUGAUUAGCUAGUUGGAAGGGUAAAGGCCUACCAAGGCGACGAUCAGUAGCCGGUCUGAGAGGAUGAACGGCCACAUUGGAACUGAGACACGGUCCAAACUCCUACGGGAGGCAGCAGUGGGGAAUAUUGCACAAUGGGGGGAACCCUGAUGCAGCGACGCCGCGUGAGCGAAGAAGGUUUUCGAAUCGUAAAGCUCUGUCCUAUGAGAAGAUA